CCUACGGUUGGCAGCAGUGAGGAAUAUUGGUCAAUGGGCGUAAGCCUGAACCAGCCAAGUCGCGUGAGGGAUGAAGGUUCUAUGGAUCGUAAACCUCUUUUAUAAGGGAAUAAAGUGUGGGACGUGUCCUAUUCUGUAUGUACCUUAUGAAUAAGGAUCGGCUAACUCCGUGCCAGCAGCCGCGGUAAUACGGAGGAUCCGAGCGUUAUCCGGAUUUAUUGGGUUUAAAGGGUGCGUAGGCGGCCUGUUAAGUCAGCGGUGAAAGGCUGGGGCUCAACCAUAGAAUUGCCGUUGAAACUGGUGGGCUUGAGAGUGUUUGAGGCAGGCGGAAUGCGUGGUGUAGCGGUGAAAUGCUUAGAGAUCACACAGAACCCCGAUUGCGAAGGCAGCCUGCCAAGCCAUGACUGACGCUGAUGCACGAAAGCGUGGGGAUCAAACAGGAUUAGAUACCCGAGUAGUC
rnacentral:rRNA from 1 species